UACGUAGGGACCGAGCGUUGUCCGGAAUCAUUGGGCGUAAAGCGCGUGUAGGCGGCCACUUAAGUCCUGCGUGAAAUCUUGCGGCUCAACCGCAAGCGGUCGUGGGAAACUGGGUGGCUAGAGGGCGGGAGAGGAGAGUGGAAUUCCUGGUGUAGCGGUGGAAUGCGCAGAUAUCAGGAAGAACACCCGUGGCGAAGGCGGCUCUCUGGAACGCAACUGACGCUGAGACGCGAAAGCGUGGGGAGCGAACAGG
rnacentral:rRNA from 1 species